UACGGGGGGGGCAAGCGUUGUCCGGAUUUACUGGGCGUAAAGAGCGCGCAGGCGGCCAAGUCAGUCGAAUGUGAAAGCCCCCGGCUUAACUGGGGAGGGUCAUUCGAUACUGCUCGGCUCGAAGACAGGAGAGGGAAGUGGAAUUCCCGGUGUAGUGGUGAAAUGCGUAGAUAUCGGGAGGAACACCAGUGGCGAAGGCGACUUCUGG
rnacentral:rRNA from 1 species